GGGUCAGUAGGUUGGUCGUGCCACCGGUACGUACUGGUCUCACUGAUUCCUCCUUCCUGAAGAACCGUAAUGCCAUUAAUUUGGUGUAGCGGGGAAACAGGACUGUUACUUUGAAAAAAUUAGAGUGUUUAAAGCAGGCUAACGCUUGAAUACAUUAGCAUGGAAUAAUGAAAUAGGACGAUCGAUCCUAUUUUGUUGGUUUCUAGGAUUGACGUA
rnacentral:rRNA from 1 species